CCUACGGGAGGCAGCAGUGAGGAAUAUUGGUCAAUGGACGAGAGUCUGAACCAGCCAAGUAGCGUGAAGGAUGACUGCCCUAUGGGUUGUAAACUUCUUUUAUAAAGGAAUAAAACGAGGCACGUGUGCCUUUUUGCAUGUACUUUAUGAAUACGGAUCGGCUAACUCCGUGCCAGCAGCCGCGGUAAUACGGAGGAUCCGAGCGUUAUCCGGAUUUAUUUGGUUUAAAGGGAGCGUAGAUGGGUUGUUAAGUCAGUUGUGAAAGUUUGCGGCUCAACCGUAAAAUUGCAAUUGAUACUGGCAGUCUUGAGUACAGUUGAGGUAGGCGGAAUUCGUGGUGUAGCGGUGAAAUGCUUAGAUAUCACGAAGAACCCCGAUUGCGAAGGCAGCUUACUAAACUGUGACUGACAUUGAUGCUCGAGAGUGUGGGUAUCAAACAGGAUUAGAUACCCCUGUAGUC
rnacentral:rRNA from 1 species